rnacentral:rRNA from 1 species
CCUACGGGUGGCAGCAGUGAGGAAUAUUGGUCAAUGGCCGAGAGGCUGAACCAGCCAAGUCGCGUGAGGGAAGACGGCCCUACGGGUUGUAAACCUCUUUUGUCGGGGAGCAAAGCGAGUCACGUGUGACUCAUUGAGAGUACCCGAAGAAAAAGCAUCGGCUAACUCCGUGCCAGCAGCCGCGGUAAUACGGAGGAUGCGAGCGUUAUCCGGAUUUAUUGGGUUUAAAGGGUGCGCAGGCGGAGGUGCAAGUCAGCGGUCAAAUUGCGGGGCUCAACCCCGUACUGCCGUUGAAACUGGCUGUCUUGAGAUGUCGAGAGGUAUGCGGAAUGCGCAGUGUAGCGGUGAAAUGCUUAGAUAUUGCGCAGAACUCCGAUUGCGAAGGCAGCAUACCGGCGGCGAUCUGACGCUGAGGCACGAAAGCGUGGGUAUCGAACAGGAUUAGAUACCCGAGUAGUC